GAUCGAGUUGUAAUUUGAAGAAGCGUUUUCUGCGUAUUUGAUCAGCCUAAGUCCUAUUGAAUGAGGCAUCACGGAGGGUGAUAAUCCCGUCCGGUUGAUCAUUUGCGUUUUACGAUACGCUUUCUAAGAGUCAAGUUGUUUGGGAUUGCAGCUUAAAAUGGGAGGUAAAUUUCUCCUAAGGCUAAAUAACGGCGAGAGACCGAUAGCGAACAAGUACC
rnacentral:rRNA from 1 species